rnacentral:hammerhead_ribozyme from 1 species
CUCCGACUGACGAAUCCCGAAUAGGACGAAACGCGCGCCCUGGAU